rnacentral:ncRNA from 1 species
GCACAGUCGAAAUCGACUUCUGCUUUUGUUGUGAUUCUUCUUUACGUGCAUUAUUGUUGUUGCAAACGGUCAGUGCUGCUGAAUUAUUUACAGCUGGCACAGCGAUAAUUAGUUGGCCCGCUGACGAAGUUGAUGUUGUGGCAGUUGCCAGUGAGGUCACUGCACUCGUUAUUGCAGUGUUACAGUUACCCGGGACGGUCGUUUGGCGCUGCGAGAGGAGCGGGGUAGGAGAGGCGGUCUCUUCGCUCCACGACUUGUGAGCCGAAGCAGGCAGAGAGGGAGAGCAAGAACGCGGUCUGUCGUUCGCUGAGGGCAAAAGUUUCGAGUUAGUUGAAAGUGAGGGUGCUCGAUCACCGAUUUGCGGUGAGACGAAAGAAAAGUAUGCAUUGUUGCGUUGUAAAGAGCGCCGGCGCUCGUCUUGUUCACAUUGUCGCUGAGAACGUAUGUCGUUUUGAUUCAUUGUUCUAAGUCCACAUAUAACAAUUACCAGAACAAUAUGGAAUAAUUAUUUAUUUUAGUAAAUAAUUACUAUAGUCAAUAAUUGUUAGUUGUGCAAACUGCACUUUACACUUUGUGUUUAACUUUCACUAUACUGUUGUAGUUUUUAGAACUUGCUAUUCGUAGCUUGAAAGAAACACGUCUCCACCCGAAGACUGUGGAAUGUCUACUGUUGUCAUGACAUGUCAUGAAUGACAUGUCAUGAAUGACAUAUACUGUUGUGUCGAUAUUUUCUCCUCGGACCUUGAAAAUUUAUGGUGGGGACACGCAAACUUCUCAACAGGCCGUACCAAUAUCCGCAGCUGGUCUCCAAGGUGAAGAGUCUCUAGUCGAUAGAAUAAUGUAGGUAAGGGAAGUCGGCAAAUUAGAUCCGUAACUUCGGGAUAAGGAUUGGCUCUGAAGAUUGAGAUAGUCGGGCUUGAUUGGGAAACAAUAACAUGGUUUAUGUGCUCGUUCUGGGUAAAUAGAGUUACUAGCAUUUAUGUUAGUUACUUGUUCCCCGGAUAGUUUAGUGAA